rnacentral:rRNA from 1 species
GAUGAACGCUGGCGGCGUGCCUAAUACAUGCAAGUCGAGCGAACAGACGAGGAGCUUGCUCCUCUGACGUUAGCGGCGGACGGGUGAGUAACACGUGGAUAACCUACCUAUAAGACUGGGAUAACUUCGGGAAACCGGAGCUAAUACCGGAUAAUAUAUUGAACCGCAUGGUUCAAUAGUGAAAGACGGUUUUGCUGUCACUUAUAGAUGGAUCCGCGCCGCAUUAGCUAGUUGGUAAGGUAACGGCUUACCAAGGCAACGAUGCGUAGCCGACCUGAGAGGGGGAUCGGCCACACUGGAACUGAGACACGGUCCAGACUCCUACGGGAGGCAGCAGUAGGGAAUCUUCCGCAAUGGGCGAAAGCCUGACGGAACAACGCCGCGUGAGUGAUGAAGGUCUUCGGAUCGUAAAACUCUGUUAUUAGGGAAGAACAAAUGUGUAAGUAACUAUGCACGUCUUGACGGUACCUAAUCAGAAAGCCACGGCUAACUACGUG